rnacentral:rRNA from 1 species
CGGGACACGUGGUAUCCUGUCUGAAUAUGGGGGGACCAUCCUCCAAGGCUAAAUACUCCUGACUGACCGAUAGUGAACCAGUACCGUGAGGGAAAGGCGAAAAGAACCCCGGCGAGGGGAGUGAAAAAGAACCUGAAACCGUGUACGUACAAGCAGUGGGAGCACGCUUAGGCGUGUGACUGCGUACCUUUUGUAUAAUGGGUCAGCGACUUAUAUUCUGUAGCAAGGUUAACCGAAUAGGGGAGCCGAAGGGAAACCGAGUCUUAACUGGGCGUUAAGUUGCAGGGUAUAGACCCGAAACCCGGUGAUCUAGCCAUGGGCAGGUUGAAGGUUGGGUAACACUAACUGGAGGACCGAACCGACUAAUGUUGAAAAAUUAGCGGAUGACUUGUGGCUGGGGGUGAAAGGCCAAUCAAACCGGGAGAUAGCUGGUUCUCCCCGAAAGCUAUUUAGGUAGCGCCUCGUGAAUUCAUCUCCGGGGGUAGAGCACUGUUUCGGCAAGGGGGUCAUCCCGACUUACCAACCCGAUGCAAACUGCGAAUACCGGAGAAUGUUAUCACGGGAGACACACGGCGGGUGCUAACGUCCGUCGUGAAGAGGGAAACAACCCAGACCGCCAGCUAAGGUCCCAAAGUCAUGGUUAAGUGGGAAACGAUGUGGGAAGGCCCAGACAGCCAGGAUGUUGGCUUAGAAGCAGCCAUCAUUUAAAGAAAGCGUAAUAGCUCACUGGUCGAGUCGGCCUGCGCGGAAGAUGUAACGGGGCUAAACCAUGCACCGAAGCUGCGGCAGCGACGCUGAUGCGUUGUUGGGUAGGGGAGCGUUCUGUAAGCCUGUGAAGGUGUGCUGUGAGGCAUGCUGGAGGUAUCAGAAGUGCGAAUGCUGACAUAAGUAACG